GAGGGAGGGCCCCUCGAAGCCGCCAUGCAGGUGGAGGCUUCAAACCA
rfam:Mesotoga prima MPI_scaffold_4834, whole genome shotgun sequence.